UACGUAGGGGGCUAGCGUUGUUCGGAAUUACUGGGCGUAAAGGGCGCGUAGGCGGCCUGUUAAGUCGGGGCGCGAAAUGCCGGGGCUCAACCCCGGGACUGCGUCCGAUACUUCCGAGCUGGAGGUAGGUAGGGGAGAUCGGAAUUCCUGGUGUAGCGGUGAAAUGCGUAGAUAUCGGGAGGAACACCAGUGGCGAAGGCGGCAUCCUGGACCGGUAUGACGCUGAGGCGCGAAAGCCAGGGGAGCAAAGCGGG
rnacentral:rRNA from 1 species